rnacentral:piRNA from 1 species
UAGGAUGAUUUCGAUUUUCUGGUAGAUGGA